GACGGAGGAUGCAAGUGUUAUCCGGAAUCACUGGGCGUAAAGCGUCUGUAGGUGGUUCGAAAAGUCCACUGUUAAAGAUUGAGGCUUAACUUCAAAAAUGCCGUGGAAACUUUCAAACUAGAGUAUGGUAGGGGUAGAGGGAAUUUCCAGUGGAGCGGUGAAGUGCGUAGAUAUUGGAAAGACCACCGAUGGCGAAGGCACUCUACUGGGCCAUUACUGACACUGAGAGACGAAAGCUAGGGGAGCAAAUGGG
rnacentral:rRNA from 1 species